rnacentral:rRNA from 1 species
CUAAGCCGAGGCCGAAAGGCGUAGGUGAUGGACAACAGGUUGAUAUUCCUGUACCGCCAAUAAGCGUUUGAGAGAUGGAGUGACACAGUAGGAUAAGCUAACCGUACUGUUGGUUAUGUACGGCUAAGCAUUGAGGCAGUCUAAAUAGGCAAAUCCGUUUAGACAAUGCUAGGAUGUGAUGGGGAAGCCCUUCGGGGCGAAGUAGCUGAUUUCACACUGUCAAGAAAAGCUUCUAUCGAGUUUAAAGGCGCCCGUACCGUAAACCGACACAGGUGGGUGAGGAGAGUAUCCUAAGGCCAGCGAGAGAACUAUUGUUAAGGAACUCGGCAAAAUGACCCCGUAACUUAGGGAGAAGGGGUGCCUGUCUAUGACAGGCCGCAGAGAAUAGGCCCAAGCGACUGUUUACCAAAAACACAGGUUUCUGCUAAGUCGCAAGACGAUGUAUAGGAGCUGACGCCUGCCCGGUGCUGGAAGGUUAAGGGGAUCUGUUAGAGCAAUCGAAGCAGUGAACUUAAGCCCCAGUAAACGGCGGCCGUAACUAUAACGGUCCUAAGGUAGCGAAAUUCCUUGUCGGGUAAGUUCCGACCCGCACGAAAGGCGUAACGAUUUGGGCACUGUCUCAACAACAGACUCGGUGAAAUUGUAAUCCCGGUGAAGAUGCCGGGUACCUGCGACAGGACGGAAAGACCCCAUGGAGCUUUACUGUAGCUUGACGUUGGGUCUUGGUACUACAUGUACAGGAUAGGUGGGAGACUAUGAAGCAUGGACGCCAGUCUGUGUGGAGUCAUCCUUGGGAUACCACCCUUGUAGUACUGGGAUCCUAACCAUAGGCCUUGAAUCAGGUCUUGGAACACCGUCAGGUGGGCAGUUUGACUGGGGCGGUCGCCUCCUAAAAAGUAACGGAGGCGCUCAAAGGUUUCCUCAGCACGGUCGGAAAUCGUGCGAAGAGUGUAAAGGCAAAAGGAAGCUUGAUUGCAAGACAUACAGGUCGAGCAAGGACGAAAGUCGGACUUAGUGAUC